rnacentral:rRNA from 1 species
UACGAAGGGGGCUAGCGUUGCUCGGAAUCACUGGGCGUAAAGGGUGCGUAGGCGGGGCUUUAAGUCCGGGGGGAAAUCCUGGAGCUCAACUCCAGAACUGCCUUUGAUACUGAAGAUCUUGAGUUCGGGAGAGGUGAGUGGAACUGCGAGUGUAGAGGUGAAAUUCGUAGAUAUUCGCAAGAACACCAGUGGCGAAGGCGGCUCACUGGCCCGAUACUGACGCUGAGGCACGAAAGCGUGGGGAGCAAACAGG